rnacentral:lncRNA from 1 species
CCCAAAAUAUAUAUAAUAUCUUACGAUAUUUUUUAAAUACCGUAAAGUAUCCGUUCUCUUUCUUUUUACCUUUAUUUUCAUGUUUGAAAUGGAUACGGCCAGAUAUCACUGCCGUAAAGUCUAAGCCAACCCAAAUCAUUUUUCCAACCAUAGAGGCCAUUCAAUAAUGCAUGAGUAGUAGGUUAAAAGACCAGUCUAAGAACAUUGGAGCCAUUAUUAGACACCACG